UACGUAGGUGGCGAGCGUUGUCCGGAAUUAUUGGGCGUAAAGGGUGCGUAGGCGGUAGUUUAAGUGGGGCGUGAAAUCCCCGGGCUUAACCCGGGAGCUGCGCUCCAAACUGGACUACUUGAGUGCAGGAGAGGAAAGCGGAAUUCCCAGUGUAGCGGUGAAAUGCGUAGAGAUUGGGAGGAACACCAGUGGCGAAGGCGGCUUUCUGGACUGUAACUGACGCUGAGGCACGAAAGCGUGGGGAGCAAACAGGAUUAGAUGCCCUGGUAGUCCACGCCGUAAACGAUGGGUACUAGGUGUAGGGCCGUCAGGCUCUGUGCCGCAGUUAACACAUUAAGUACCCCGCCUGGGAAGUACGGUCGCAAGACUAAA
rnacentral:rRNA from 1 species